UACGUAGGGGGCAAGCGUUGUCCGGAUUUAUUGGGCGUAAAGAGCGUGUAGGCGGCUUUACAGGUCCGUUGUGAAAACUCGAGGCUCAACCUCGAGACGCCGGUGGAAACCGUAAAGCUAGAGUCCGGAAGAGGAGAGUGGAAUUCCUGGUGUAGCGGUGAAAUGCGCAGAUAUCAGGAAGAACACCCGUGGCGAAGGCGGCUCUCUGGCCCGAUACUGACGCUGAGGUGCGAAAGCGUGGGGAGCAAACAGG
rnacentral:rRNA from 1 species